rnacentral:rRNA from 1 species
UACAGAGGUCCCAAGCGUUUGUUCGGAUUCACUGGGCGUAAAGGGUGCGUAGGUGGUGAGGUAAGUCGGAUGUGAAAUCUCCGGGCUCAACCCGGAAAUGGCAUUGGAAACUACCUUGCUUGAGGAUUUGAGGGGGGGAUUGGAAUACUUGGUGUAGCAGUGAAAUGCGUAGAUAUCAAGUGGAACACCAGUGGCGAAGGCGGAAUCCCUGGAAAUACGUCGAACACAUCGAGGACACGGAAA